GAACGAACGCUGGCGGCAUGCCUAACACAUGCAAGUCGAACGAGACCUUCGGGUCUAGUGGCGCACGGGUGCGUAACGCGUGGGAACCUGCCCUUAGGUUCGGAAUAACUCCCCGAAAGGGGUGCUAAUACCGGAUAAUGUCUUCGGACCAAAGAUUUAUCGCCUUUGGAUGGGCCCGCGUUGGAUUAGCUAGUUGGUAGGGUAAAAGCCUACCAAGGCGACGAUCCAUAGCUGGUCUGAGAGGAUGAUCAGCCACACUGGGACUGAGACACGGCCCAGACUCCUACGGGAGGCAGCAGUAGGGAAUAUUGGACAAUGGGCGAAAGCCUGAUCCAGCAAUGCCGCGUGAGUGAUGAAGGCCUUAGGGUUGUAAAGCUCUUUUACCCGGGAUGAUAAUGACAGUACCGGGAGAAUAAGCUCCGGCUAACUCCGUG
rnacentral:rRNA from 1 species